rnacentral:rRNA from 1 species
UACGGAGGGUGCAAGCGUUAUCCGGAUUCACUGGGUUUAAAGGGUGCGUAGGUGGGCAGGUAAGUCAGUGGUGAAAUCUCCGGGCUUAACCCGGAAACUGCCCAUUGAUACUAUCUGUCUUGAAUACCGUGGAGGUGAGCGGAAUAUGUCAUGUAGCGGUGAAAUGCUUAGAUAUGACAUAGAACACCAAUUGCGAAGGCAGCUCACUAACAUCG